CAGUCGCCGCGGUAAUACGAAGGUCCCAAGCGUUGUUCGGAAUCACUGGGCGUAAAGGGAGCGUAGGCGGCGUGGUAAGUCAGACGUGAAAUCCCGGGGCUCAACCCCGGAACUGCAUCCGAUACUGCCAUGCUUGAGGGUUGGAGAGGUAGCUGGAAUUCUCGGUGUAGCAGUGAAAUGCGUGGAUAUCGAGAGGAACACUCGUGGCGAAGGCGAGCUACUGGACAACAUCUGACGCUGAGGCUCGAAGGCUAGGGUAGCGAAAGGGAUUAGAUACCCCAGUAGUCCCUGUCUCUUAUAC
rnacentral:rRNA from 1 species